UUGGGUCUCCAUCCAGAAGACAGAAAUGCAGAUGCUGUGGUCCCUCCUCUGCCUGCUGGCAGCUCCCCUGGGUGUCCUAUCUCAACUUACACUUCGGGAGUCCGGCCCAGGACUGGUGAAGCCUUCACAAUCCCUCUCUCUCACCUGCGUUGUCUCCGGAGGCUCCGUUACCAGCAGUUACUACUGGAACUGGAUCCGCCAGCGCCCUGGGAGAGGGUUGGAGUGGCUCGGGUACUGGACAGGUAGCACCAGCUACAACCCGGCUUUCCAGGGCCGCAUCUCCAUCACUGCUGACACAGCCCAAAACCAGUUCUCCCUGCAGCUGAGCUCCAUGACCACCGAGGACACGGCCGUGUAUUACUGUGCAAGAAGCACAGUGAGGGAAAACGAGAUCUCCCCCAUAACUUCUGCUCACAAUGCAGACCCAUCAGUUCGUCGGUGUCGGCUCCUGGCCAUGCGCCUCUGCCAGCUCCUGAAUGUUGUCCUCAUUCACCUCCAGUCCCCUGGUCUUCCCCAAGGACACAGCUUCAUCGACAACUGGCGGCUGCUGUUCAUGAGCAAGCCGCUCUAA